UUAAAGUUCAACUAAACGAAACGCUUAUAUGAAAUGCCCUUACGAUUUCCCAGCAUGAUAGUACACACACAUAUGCAUUCAACAUGCAUUGUUUUUAUUAACAACUUUAAAUUUUAUCUCGACUAAUUUACGCGAGUAGAUUCUCUCGAAUAGACGUUGCUGUGAAUGUCGUUUAAGGAUUCAGUCCAAAUUCGCCUUUUACGUGAGACAAGAUAACAGUAGUCGAGAAAAUAUUUCUGAUAUUCUCGCCUACAGGUAUUCGAGAUAUCGCACACCUAGAUCUAAAGAGAGUUAAGUCAAAAAUCUGUAUGGUUGAGUUAUGCUCACCAUUUAAUUUCCUAUACGGAUACCUAUCUGACCAAUAAAACAGAUUUAAAAAUAAGUACAAAACUCAACGCUAGAUGGCACCUAGAGUCCCUUUUGUUGAACGAGCGAGCCAGCCCCUCUCGCGCCUAAACGGAAACAAUGCUAGUUGCAAUCAGAAUUACGAGCGGAGUACACGUGCUCUCCGUAAAAAAAUUGGAGUUAUUUUGAAUUGUCACCUUUUAGAUGGUUAUUGCUGAUUAAAUAGAUGCAACAUUUUAAGUUAAACCUAUAUUGCUGGCAAGGAAAAUAAUGCACUGCGGGCGAUUUUUAGUAAAUAUGAUAAAAAAACGGGAUGAAGAAAAUAUCGCUCCUCCUAUCACUUCUACGCAACAUGCAACCGUGGAAGAUGACUUGAAGAUAAUAUCAUCAAGUGAUGAAGUUUCAUCCAAUGAAACUCAUGCUGUCUUGACACCGGUUAAACAUCUGUACCUAGCAGUAGCCCAUCUAAACAACAAAAUUAUGUUGCCCCGAACUACUAUAUUUCACGGAUCCGGAGCGAUGAAAGUGAUAUUGAAGACUCUGAUGAAGAUCCUAAUUUUCAACUGUGAAACAAAAAUGAGCUCCCACCUAAGGUCAUACCUUCAUUAUUAUCGGCGACUUCGUCCAGCACCAGCAGCAGCAACUCGAGUUCGUCGGAUACCGAAGAUGAUAGUAAGCAAGUAGGUCCGGAAAAUGUUUAGGUUCCUGAAUCUGGUAUUGAGAUCGAAAAAAAGGGCAAAAAGAGAGUACGUAAACCAGCAACGUGGAAGUCGAAAAUCGCGAAACAACUGAGAAGUUCUGGCAAAGCCUAUCAGUCCUUGUCAAAAUCUAAGAAACUAAUACUAGAAAGAAAGGUUGGACCACCCUGUGGAGACAAAUGUCGCCUAAAAUGCAAAGAUAAAGUGGACGAGAUGUCAAGACAACAGGUCUUUGACGCAUAUUGGGCACUCAGCGAUCUUGAAAGGCAAAGAAAAUUCAUAGUACGCCACUCGCAACAAAUAAAGCCUAAAUAUCGGUACUCAAGUACACAAAAUUUUAGAGCCCUCAACAGUGUUUAAGAGUUACUAUGACCCAUUUGGGUUUAUGAGACUGACAUAAGUUAAUGCUACUAAUAAUAAUAGAACUAAUAUACAAUAUUGAUUGACUGCA